rnacentral:rRNA from 1 species
GGCAAGUCGAGCGGAUGAGAAGAGCUUGCUCUUCGAUUCAGCGGCGGACGCGGUUGAGUAAUGCCUAGGAAUCUGCCUGGUAGUGGGGGACAACGUUUCGAAAGGAACGCUAAUACCGCAUACGUCCUACGGGAGAAAGCAGGGGACCUUCGGGCCUUGCGCUAUCCCAUGAGCCUAGGUCGGAUUAGCUAGUUGGUGGGGUAAUGGCUCACCAAGGCGACGAUCCGUAACUGGUCUGAGAGGAUGAUCAGUCACACUGGAACUGAGACACGGUCCAGACUCCUACGGGAGGCAGCAGUGGGGAAUAUUGGACAAUGGGCGAAAGCCUGAUCCAGCCAUGCCGCGUGUGUGAAGAAGGUCUUCGGAUUGUAAAGCACUUUAAGUUGGGAGGAAGGGCAUUAACCUAAUACGUUAGUGUUUUGACGUUACCGACAGAAUAAGCACCGGCUAACUCUGUGCCAGCAGCCGCG